rnacentral:rRNA from 1 species
UACGUAGGGGGGCUAGCGUUGUCCGGAAUCAUUGGGCGUAAAGAGCGUGUAGGCGGCCCGGUAAGUCCGCUGUAAAAGUCAAAGGCUCAACCCUUUGAAUGUCAGUGGAUACUGCCGGGCUAGAGUCCGGAAGAGGCGAGUGGAACUCCUGGUGUAGCGGUGGAAUGCGCAGAUAUCAGGAAGAACACCAACGGCGAAGGCAGCUCGCUGGGACGGUACUGACGCUGAGACGCGAAAGCGUGGGGAGCGAACAGG